rnacentral:tRNA from 1 species
GUUAGAGUGGCAGAGCCUGGUAAUUGCAUAAGGCCUAAGCCCUUACCCCCAGGGGUUCAACUCCCCUCUUUAACU